GAUGAACGCUGGCGGCGUGCCUAAUACAUGCAAGUCGAGCGAACGGACGAGAAGCUUGCUUCCCUGAUGUUAGCGGCGGACGGGUGAGUAACACGUGGAUAACCUACCUAGAAGACUGGGAUAACUUCGGGAAACCGUAGCCAAUACCGGAUAAUAUUUUGAACCGCAGGGUUCAAAAGUGAAAGACGGUCUUGCUGUCACUUAUAGAUGGAUCCGCGCUGCAUUAGCUAGUUGGUAAGGUAACGGCUUACCAAGGCAACGAUGCAUAGCCGACCUGAGAGGGUGAUCGGCCACACUGGAACUGAGACACGGUCCAGGCUCCUACGGGAGGCAGCAGUAGGGAAUCUUCCGCAAAGGGCGCAAGCCUGACGGAGCAACGCCGCGUGAGUGAUGAAGGUCUUCGGAUCGUAAAACUCUGUUAUUAGGGAAGAACAUAUGUGUAAGUAACUGUGCACAUCUUGACGGUACCUAAUCAGAAAGCCACGGCUAACUACGUG
rnacentral:rRNA from 1 species